GACAGAGGGUGCAAGCGUUGUUCGGAAUCAUUGGGCGUAAAGGGCGCGUAGGCGGUUUUGUAAGUCGGAUGUGAAAGCCCAGGGCUUAACCUUGGAAGUGCAUCCGAAACUGCAUAACUGGAGUCUCGGAGAGGGUGGUAGAAUUCCCAGUGUAGAGGUGAAAUUCGUAGAUAUUGGGAGGAAUACCCGUGGCGAAGGCGGCCCCCUGGGCCGAACCUGACGCUGAGGCGCGAAGGCUAGGGGAGCGAACGGG
rnacentral:rRNA from 1 species